AUUGAACGCUGGCGGCAGGCUUAACACAUGCAAUUCGAGCGGGGUGAUGGUGCUUGCACUAUCACUUAGCGGCGGACGGGUGAGUAAUGCUUAGGAAUCUGCCUACUAGUGGGGGACAACAACUCGUAAGGGAAGCUAAUACAGCAUACGUCCUACGGGAGAAAGAAGGGUCUCACUUGUGUAUCUGCGCUAAUAGAUGAGCCUAAGUCGGAUUAGCUAGUUGGUAGGGUAAAGGCCUACCAAGGCGACGAUCUGUAGCGGGUCUGAGAGGAUGAUCCGCCACACUGGGACUGAGACACGGCCCAGACUCCUACGGGAGGCAGCAGUGGGGAAUAUUGGACAAUGGGGGGAACCCUGAUCCAGCCAUGCCGCGUGUGUGAAGAAGGCCUUAUGGUUGUAAAGCACUUUAAGCGAGGAGGAGGCUCUUUUGGUUAAUACCCAAGAUGAGUGGACGUUACUCGCAGAAUAAGCACCGGCUAACUCUGUGCCAGCCGCCGCCGUAA
rnacentral:rRNA from 1 species